CGGUAUAGAAUCCGCUUCGCCGUCGAACAUUGAGCAGGAGCGCGGAAAUUGGAGGCACUGCUGCGAUUUCUGAUGCUGGGUCCCCACGGAAAUUGAAAUCCGAACUUGGCCUUGCUCGCAAAUUCGAAGCUUACCCAACGUUGCGUCGUCUUUGAAGAAGCUCCGGAAUCGUGCUGCAUUUGCCCCGGAAGAAGCCGCACGCUUCGUGUCCUCGAAGCUCGCCGUUCGGUGGUCUGCUUCGUGCAAUUCGUGGUUGCUGCGCUCGGAUUCUUUUGGUGUAUGAGAAACCCCCUGGAAUUCGAAUGUCGUGCGUUGUAACUGCGGCAGAAAAAACUGUGCUGAUAGAAUUUUCACUGCUGGUGGUGGUGGUCGGACUGGUAGGGAAGAGCGUGGCGGGUAAUGUGAUGGAGGGCGGGGUUUAGCGGGUGUGAGAUGAAGCUGAAGCUGGGUGAUCAAGGUGAGCUGAGUGACCAAUUCAAAUGAUGGGUUACAUGAAGCUCGGGAGAGGCGCGCCGGGAGUGGAGAAGAUUGGAAGCAUGGGCUUUAGUAACGGGGAGAUUAUGAGCAGGCAGCAGAGGGCAGGCGAGGUUAGGUUUUCGCCCAAUUCAUUUCAAUAUACUGCGUUUGAAUAAUUGUUUUUGGCAUGCGUUAUGUUUACAGGCGACAAGAUUCAGACUUGCAGGGGUGGUCACAGCCGUUGGAAUGGGGAAUGCGCCUUAUUGUUACAUGGUUUUUUUGUUCGAGCUCUAUUGGCUGUUCGAAUUGGCUUCGCCAUCAUCGUUUCAGGUGAAGGGGAAGAGGUCCUACCCAUGGAGGGCAAUUUGCGAAGGAAGCCCUAAGACAGGGCUCACUGGAGAGUUCGUGUCACUCAUUGGCAGCCAUGCCCAGCUGUUUUCGUCAGCAAAUGCCAAAUGCGAUCUUCUGCUGCUUUUCUUCAUUGCCUUGCUUUUUCAACUGUACCCUUCCACUCGAGGAGCUCGCCAUUGCCUCUAUAAGGACUAGCUUUUGAUUCAGCAAAUGAGGGUCAUGAACGGCGCCAUUGCCUUGAUCGUCGUUGUGCUGUGUCUGGAAGUGGGGGUUGUAUUCUGCUCGUUCUAGUAAUACAUCCAAAUAUCAUCUCCUUGGAAUGACUCUCUCGUGACAAUCGCAGCAAUGGGAGGUUCAGCGGGAUUGGGAGCAUAUCUAGUUGGACUUAUUGGAGAUGCUGUGUGAUCUCUCUUUUUCUGUUCUUAUGGUGGCGGCUUCAUUUUCGGCAUCUGACUCUGUCGGGUUGCCCAGGACGGUUUGCGACUUCUUAUAGUAGCACAUCAAUUUCUUUUUUUUUAUUCAAAAUCUUUCGAUCCUAUCAUAUAUAAUCUGCAACACACCUAGAUCAUUCAUGUGUUGAAUUUAUCAGCUUGCAGUUGCACUCUUUGAGCUUACUGAUGGUUAUAAUGAUGGCAGUAAUGUUGAAUUGACCUUAGCAAAUACUUUGCAGGUAUAUUAUUGGAGGUGGUGUGGUGGCAAUUGGUGUCCCUGGGCUUGACAUCCUUCCGAAUAUAGCGCGAUAUGCCGCUGAGGUUGGGCUUGUGGGCCAUGCUCUGAUAGUGUGUCACUUGGAGAAUCAACUUCAUAGUCUCACGAGGAUAGAUGAAAGGGAGGAUUUAGGAUGACGCCAUGGCAAGGAAUGGGCCAUGGCGCGGUUGUAGGCAUAUCACUUUUGCUAUGUCGCUUUACGACAUUUGAAGCUUUAUAAUGGUGGACAGGAGUGCCUCUAUCAGAUGGGUUGAUGCUGGGCACCUUAAAUAUGUCGACAGGUAUUGCAGGUGCUCCGAUCGUCACGCAGUAUUUCCCCAACAUACAGAGUGUCAAGAGAGACUUGGUGCUUGUGAUGUCAUUAGGUUUCUCCUAAAUCGACUACGUUUCAGCCUCCGAUACCAGAGGGUUGGACUUAUCUGUGGGACAAAGCUCACAUGCCGGUAAAAUCUGCUGAUAGUAUUGCUAUUUAUGGAGCCGCAGCAGAUCCGCCUGCUUGGCCAAUAUUUCUUCUCAUUAUAGCUCUCGACGUAUCAAGUUGCCUUUGAAAUCAUGUUGAAGUUGACAACCAUCAUAGCAGACAGGGUUUUCUAGAAGAUUGUGGACGGUCAUGGGCCCAAAUUUCGUCUCACUCAACAGUGAAAGCCCUCAUCAACCAAUGCAUUCAGUAUGAAGAAGCUCGCUGCAGAGGGCGCGUGGAUGGCAACCAUUGGCAAUAUGGCAACACUACUAUGCUUCAUCCUUUGUCUAAUUCUUGACUCUCACCUAGCUGGAGGCUCUGACGUGUCAAUUGUCCUCACACCAAUUUUAUUGCUCUUAAAUCAGGACUACAAUAUGUCUGGUUUUGGAAACCGACAGCGGUACUUUCCAGUGACUGCAGCGGUUUCAGGUUAUCUAAUUGUUUCAGCAGGCUGUCGGUUGUGGAUUGAAGUCCAUCACGGCUACCAGAGUUCGGACUGGGGGAUGCAGACAGGUGGACCUGGUCUUUUUUUUAUCUUGCAAAGAACAUAUUCUUCCUUACCUUCAUCGUGACAAAUCAUUGUUUGCUUGUUUCUUUCUUUUCUUUUCUUUUCAACUCGUUCAUGUAGAACUAUAUCAAAUUGUCGGACAGGUUGUUACUCUUGACGACGCCAACGAAUUUGCCAGCAGCCAUUGCAACCAACAUUAUCAUCAUCCGAUUCUUAGCCUGCGUAGGAAUGGUCUAUGCCCUUGUCCAAUAUAUAAUGUCCAAUGUCCAGGACCAUUCGGAUCGCUGGGAUGAGAUUAAUUUGAGACAACUUUUCCUCGACCCCUGUGAGAUGUAAUCAGGCCAUGGAACGUCUAACAGCAGCAUUUUCCUUGAGGUGGGAAAGCGAAACCAUGGCCUUGCAUUAUCAAAUAGUUGUUGAUGGAGCUGUAAGUAUUUGUGUAAUUUUUUCCAGCGUAUUGUGGAAUUCAGUGCCGGGGCCCACUAGAUUAGUUGCAGGAUAGUUGUCUGGGUUUGAUACCGUGUGUUUAUGUGAACUUGGUCAAUAAGUCCGCCACUCUUGAGUAACUGAAGUUGUAGUUGAGCGUCGAGGAUAUGUGAUUUGUGCAGGAAUAGAUAAACCCCAGUGGUUAAUUAAUGAAUUAAUUAAUUAAUUACAUCGGUUAGUACUCUCAGAUCUCCAAUAAAGUCAGACGACGAGAAUAGAAAUGAUUGUGCAUGGCAUUCUUCUCUAGUCUAGUGAAUUUCUUACUGGCUUGAUCAACUUUUGUAGAAUUUUCACAAGACGUCUCAUUCAACUUUUAAGCUUAUGCAGCUUGUACUAGUAGGAGCUUUCCUUUAACGCAAAUGUAUAAAUAUCCUGUGAUUCUU